GUUGGUUUUGUACCAGUGUUCUCUCCAGUGUUGGCUGGCCAGGACAGGACCUCAAGACCCAUACAGACAACACAUUAAAUGAAGGGAAUACGGCUUCUGGUCCUGAUCACAUGCCUUGCUUUCACUGCUUCUGUGCCAGUCACUACAAGUCAAAGGGAAAGGGAAAACAGAAAACAAGCCCUUGCUGUACAUGUUCGUAAUCUGCUAAAAGAAUAUGAACGACAUGUCCUGAAUAUCGAAACCGCUCGUUCAAAGCUGAAGGGGAUGCCAGAGAAUGACAUGGAGAACGUGGCUCAGACUGUCUGCGUGUUUCAAAAGUACCUUGACAGCAUGACUGAACAUCACAAGAACCUGAGCCCUGGACAGUCUUUCAACCAUUCCUUUAACUUAGUCAAAAACCAGUUCCGUUCUUUAAAGAAACAGAUAACACCAGCCUGUAAUGAUGAUCACGUGCUCAUAGAGGUUGCGAAUAACACGUGGGAGCAGAAGGAUUUAGGCUAUAGGGUGCUCAAGCAGUUGAAAUUAUGGGUCGAGGAACUGAAAGUGGCAAAUUCUUAAUGAGCUUGUAAACGGGUCUUGGUACCGCUUGAUUUUAUGGAGCAUAUUCAGUAAUAAUUGCACAUCAGCAUUGAAUAAUUCUGUAUUACUCCCAGCUACCUGCAAAUUGCGAAAGAAUGACAUUAUUAAUUUUUGCAAACAUUAUUUAUAGCAAGACCCCCCCAAAAAAACUCAAUCACCUU